UACGUAGGGUGCGAGCGUUAAUCGGAAUUACUGGGCGUAAAGGGUGCGCAGGCGGUUAUAUAAGACAGAUGUGAAAUCCCCGGGCUCAACCUGGGAACUGCGUUUGUGACUGUAUGACUAGAGUACGGUAGAGAGGGGUGGAAUUCCUGGUGUAGCAGUGAAAUGCGUAGAUAUCAGGAGGAACAUCGAUGGCGAAGGCAGGUCUCUGGGCUGACACUGACGCUCAUGCACGAAAGCGUGGGGAGCAAACAGG
rnacentral:rRNA from 1 species